GGCGGUGGGAGUUUGCCGUUUCCAUGCGAACGGUAAACAGAGCUGUUUUCUCCUCCGUCACUCCUGUCAUACCCAUGAUAUGAUUCUACCCGCUGAGCCCUGGAUGCCAGAGGGUGAGGAGCUGGUGCUGGUGAGCUGGAGCUCGAGAAGUGGGGUCCCGAGGUGGAAUCUGGGGUGGGAGUGGUCCCGGGUGGUCCGCGCAAAGAUAGGUGGAGUUCCAAAUUAAAGUACCUCAAGCCAAAUACCCGGACACCAAAGGCUGUUGGAGUUGAACAUUAAUGGUUCGGGAAGGAGAUGGGAGGGGAGUGGAGCAGAGAGGGCAGAGCCAAGACCUACGGGGUAAGAUCAGGGACCUGCGCGGGCCUCAGUAGAGGCCAACCUUCAUGUUGUCUCUAUUCCGGUACGAAUCAGGUGCUCUGGAUAAUUAUUAGUCCUCCCCGCCCAACCGAGCCACUGGAGGUGUGUGAAGAGGAACCUGAGCUCUCCUUUCAGGAAUAUUGUGCUGUUAAUGGGACUAACACAUCUGGUGUGGAGGGACUGGGAGGAAAAACUUCAUCUAUCCUCUUGGGUUCAGUAAAUGGGGCCCUAUGAAUUUAACUGAGAAAAAGAUUGACAGGAGAAAAGGAAUACAAAUUUAUUAAUAUUUUUUACAUGUACAGGUGUUCACAGUAAAGAAGUAACUCAAAGAAGCAGUUAAACUUGGGAGCUUAUAUACCCUUCUUUACAAAGAAAAGAGGGUUUGGGCUUCAAGGGAGUUUGUGGGGAAGUAACUGGGAAACAUAUGGAGAACUAAUGGAAGGUUGACAUAUGGUGUCAGAAAGUGGGAACUGAAUCGAUCUCACCUUCAUGGACUGGCAUCCUCUGGAAAUGGCUACAAUACCUACACGAGUCCCUUGUGUUCACCACUUCUAUGGACCGCUAGUUCCUCCAAUAGAAGCUUAGUCCUGAGCUAACAUCUGCUGCCAAUCCUUCUCUUUUUGCUGAGGAAGACUGGCCCUGAGCUAACAUCCGUGCCCAUCUUUCUCCACUUUAUAUGUGGGACGCCUACCACAUGGCUUGCCAAGUGGUGCCAUGUCUGCACCUGGGAUCCAAACUGGCAAACCCUGGGCCACCAAAGAGGAAUGUGUGAACUUAACUGCUGCGCCACCGGGCUGGCCCUGUAGUGAGAUCUUUAACCAUGCCACUUUAAGUCUUUUGUCAUUUACAGACAGUUAUUGUUUUACUCUGAUACUUUUGGAAAUGUGUCUCAUCUUCAGAGAGCUUCAUGGAAAGGACUCUGACCUUCUAGAAUUCAGGUUUCUAGUAAAAUUUCAAAUUAUAAAACUGAACUGGGUAAGAAAUUACAGUACUCCUACAGAGACUCAUGGCUUCAUAAAAUUGCUAACAAAAAGGUCAAAGAACAAAUAAAUAUUAAUUACAUGGGACUACAUGAACCAGGGAGGAUGCUCUAAUGUUUUUUUUUUCCAGAUUUAAAGAAAUCUUUUCUCUUAAGCUGUCACAACGUGGUAGGAUAUAUCUUUGUGAACAAAGAUGAAACAUUUACUUUUUCUCCCUACCUCAUCCCUCCAGAAUUCAGAAACUGUCAGUGAGUAUUCUUAUUUUCCCUUUAUAAAUAAUCAGACCAAGUUUUAAAUUUAAACAAAUGUUUUACUGUUAUUAUUUUUGGUAAAAAAUGAGGGUAAUUGUAGAGAGAAAAAUUAUGUUUGCACCUUUGUAGAUAUUAGAUUCUAGUCCUGUUAAUUGUCUUUGAGGUUUUGUUAUAUACCUGUUGACUGGAUUCCUCUGACCUAAGGUAUUGUCUUUGGUCUUGCCAACUAUUCCCAGUACCCUCUUUGGAAAACAUACUCACUCCACAUAAGAUAGUCACCAGCAGAUAAAUGUCUGUUGACAUACAACCUUCUGCUGAUCCCUCGUUGUCUUAUGCUAGUAUGACCAGUUACUGUAAGUUUCUACUGUCUUCUACUCAAGGCUUUCAUCAACAGGUAAAAGAAACUUUCCUGGAUUCCAAUUUAAAGCAUCCUAUUGGUCAGUCUAGAGCCUGGUGACUAGGUAUUCUGGAAGCAUCAUCAGAGGAAGACAGCCCUCAAGCCUUGUUGAAAAGGACCUUACCAAGUGCUCCUGACCACUGAUACUACUGCAGAACUAGAAGGCAUUGAACCUUGGAGAUACAUCUCACAGCUAAAGAAGGCUACACCCAACAUUUGGUCCUGUGUGAAUGCUGGAGACCUCCAAAUCAAACUGACCAGAAAGAGAAGCAGCCAACAUCUGAAACAGAUAGCUUUUCCAAGAUGGCUGCACCAAGCCUGUACACCUUUUACUCACUGUUGCACCUUACCUUAUUUUCUGUCUGUCUGUCUUGGAAAGACAAUACUCUUAUCCACAUCUCCCAAUCUAUUGCCAAAAGGGUAAAUCUUUCUGACUGUUGGGUUUGUCAUCAGAAGCCUCAUUCUGUACAUGAAUCUAGAGAAUCUUUUAGCACAUUUAAUUACCAAUCUCUCCACCAUUCCUCUCCUAAUUCCUUAUGCUGUCUAGAACUCCUUGCCUAACCAAUUGAACCUCCAGAAAUUGAACUGGUAACAUUGUAACUAUUGUAAAUGCCUCUUGUUGAACUUGGGUAAACACCUCCAGCAAGGUAAAGACAGAACUAGACAGAAUUUGAGCACAAGCUGAAAGAUUCGAUGCAGUGCCCACUGACAUCCCGUAGUUCUUUGAUCUGUUUAGCUGGCUACCCUCAAGAACUGUCUCUUGGUUCAGGUCUAUUCUGCAAUUUGGACUUAGCAUUUUGUUUAUUAUUAUAGAAAUUCUCACUUUUGUAAAACGUCUCUUCUGCAUGGCUUGAUGUUAUAAAAACACCACUUGGAUAAUGGUCGCUCAGUGUUUUGAAAUGAUUGCUAAAGCUUACAAGCCUUCACCUGAGAAACUUCAAGGAACUAAAGACAAUGUCUGCCCUUGAAAGAACUUGAUGGUAAGGCUUUUCUCUGCUCUGGCACUCCUGUUGCUCAAAUGUGGCCUAGGAUCUUAAGGAAAACACUUUCCCUCCUACAUGGGACAUGAAAUACUAGGAAUGAGCCUUUCUGGUUAUGAGAGACCAACAGUGCUUUGAUGACUGAUCAGCAAUACUUUCCACGAAAGGUCUUGAUCAAAAGGGGAAAAAUGUCAAAAUUGACUUUAGUGGAGCCAUUUUAAAAUGGAGUUGGAGCUGCCUCUCCAGAGAAACUGCCCUGCCGUUUUGAACCUUGGACUGGGCCAAACCUUUGGACUGGGCCAAAAUGGCCACUGUUUUACAAGCAAUUGUUUGAGGAGUCAGUAGGAGAAUGGACAUCCUGAUCACAAAGGCUGAGGAUUGCAGACUUUCUGAAGAUAGAAUCAAUACUCAAUCAAUGCUUAGCCAAGACUAACUUCUGCCUCCAACUCCAGUUAAAAUUCUUUGUAACAUAAACCUCCCUUCUUUGCCUUUAAAAGCCCCUGACUUUUACUUCCUAGCUGGAUGCUAUCUGUGCUCCCCAAAAUGAAAUUCUUUG
rnacentral:lncRNA from 1 species